rnacentral:tRNA from 1 species
ACUAUUUUGGCAGAAAAAUGUGAUGAUUUUAGAAGUCAUUAAUAUAUAGAUAUUAUAUAUUUAGUA